rnacentral:rRNA from 1 species
CCUACGGGCGGCUGCAGUGGGGAAUAUUGGACAAUGGGCGAAAGCCUGAUCCAGCCAUGCCGCGUGUGUGAAGAAGGCCUUCGGGUUGUAAAGCACUUUCAGUGGGGAAGAAAGCCUUGGGGCUAAUACCCUCGAGGAAGGACAUCACCCACAGAAGAAGCACCGGCUAACUCCGUGCCAGCAGCCGCGGUAAUACGGAGGGUGCGAGCGUUAAUCGGAAUUACUGGGCGUAAAGCGCGCGUAGGCGGUCUGAUAAGCCGGUUGUGAAAGCCCCGGGCUCAACCUGGGAACGGCAUCCGGGACUGUCAGGCUAGAGUGCAGGAGAGGAAGGUAGAAUUCCCGGUGUAGCGGUGAAAUGCGUAGAGAUCGGGAGGAAUACCAGUGGCGAAGGCGGCCUUCUGGACUGACACUGACGCUGAGGUGCGAAAGCGUGGGUAGCAAACAGGAUUAGAUACCCGUGUAGUC